UUACCGUUACUGAAACACUAAUUCCCGUACAAUCACCGAAGUUAAGCACGUUGAGCUUGGUAAGUACCUAGAUGGGUGACCGUUUGGGAAUACCAGGUGCUGUAAG